CAGCAUUCCUCCAGGGUUCCUGCCUCUGCUCCAGCUUGAGUUCCUGACUUGACUUUUCUUAAUGAUGAAUGUGAUGUGGAAAUGUAAGCAAAAUAAACCCUUUCCUCCCCAACUUGCUUCUAGUCAUGGCAUAUUUCACAGCAAGGGUAUAUCGGUUAUCUUUUGUUACCCAAGCCCGUGAAAACUAACUCAGGUUUAAAAUUAAUCAGUGUGGUUGUGGUUUGUUUCUCUCUCUCUCUCUCUCUCUCUCUCUCUCUCUCUCUCUCUCUCUGUCUGUCUGUCUAAGUGACUGAUAACAAUUCAGACAGGCUCAAACAAAAAUGGGCUGCGUCUGUCAGCAUGCUGUUUAGUCCUCCUAAAUAUGAUGCAGUAACGUUGUGAGACUUGGUGGGAGACCGGCUUGGACCAGCUGAUGUGUCCUAGUACUCGGCAGCCAGGCCUCUCAGAGCAGGGUUUAUUCUUCUUGGAGCGCUCAUGUGGAGUUAGGCAACCCAGAAGGGGACGAUGCUAAGCUUUUCUCUUUCAUUCCCAGGGUCUCGAGCAGUGACAGGUACCUGAGGGCGUUCUAGCUUCAAGACUGUUUUCAUUUCAUUUCAUUUUACUUUUGGUUAUUUUUUAAAUUAGUGUAUAGAACAGUGAGUUUCACUGUGACAUUUUCUAUGAACUUUAUCUGUCCCCUCUCACUCUCCACCUGUUCUCCUGGCCUGCUUUCUUAAAUACUCCUCAUCCUUCAUUUCUGCUUCUUUUUAUUUUCUUCUUUUGUGACGUAUAUUCCACUCCCUACUAUUGUCUGGAGUGUUUCCCCAGAUCUACUCGUCCUCUCGCUUGGUCCCCUUCCUAGUUUCAUGACCUGUCCUCCUUCUCUACACACACAGAGAAAUGGAAGCUCGGGUCUACAUCUACAGAAAACAAGAGGUAUGUGUCUUUCUAAAUCUGGGUUAUUUCACUUUAAUAUAAUAAUUUCCAACUCCAUUUUCCUGUAAAGCGCUUUCUUUUUUAAUUUAAGGCUGAAUGAAAUUCUGUUGGGUUUAUGUACCACUUUUUCUUUACUCUUUCACUGAUGGCCAUUUGGGCUGGUUCCCUUUUCUAGAUGCUGUGAAUAGCAUGAUGUAAACAUGAAUGUGCAUGGGUCUUUGUAGUGGCUAUCUGCUCUAUGACCCUGAAGCACAGCCCUAGAGACUUAGCAGGACUUGGAUGCUGGGACACCCUCAGUCCUGUAAGAACAGUGUGGGACUGUGCCUCACCUUUUCCAGGACAUUGCGACAAUUCAACAAUUUCUAUGUUGUCUUGUGAGUUUUCCUUUCUUAAUAAAUCCAUUUGUCCUUUAAGCAGACACCGUGGAUUUCCUGAAUUAAACCUUUGUGGUGGGGUGGCGAGUUCUUUGGGUAUAUGCUCAAAAGUGUAUAACUGGGUUAUAUGGUGGUUCUCUUUAGUUCUGUUUAGGGGAAGUUGACUGAAAUAGCAGAGUGAAUGA